rnacentral:rRNA from 1 species
UGGAGGCAGCAGUGGGGAAUUUUGCGCAAUGGCCGCAAGGCUGACGCAGCAACGCCGCGUGGGUGAAGAAGGCCUUCGGGUCGUAAAGCCCUGUCAGGUGGGAAGAAUGUUUCGGGGAUGAAAAAGCCUCGAAAGUGACGGUACCACCAGAGGAAGCACCGGCUAACUCCGUGCCAGCAGCCGCGGUAAUACGGAGGGUGCAAGCGUUAUUCGGAAUUACUGGGCGUAAAGCGCGUGCAGGCGGGCGAGCAAGUCUGAUGUGAAAGCCCCGGGCUCAACCUGGGAAGUGCAUUGGAAACUGUUCGUCUUGAGUUCUGGAGAGGAAGGGGGAAUUCCCGGUGUAGAGGUGAAAUUCGUAGAGAUCGGGAGGAAUACCAGUGGCGAAGGCGCCCUUCUGGACGGCAACUGACGCUGAGACGCGAAAGCGUGGGGAGCAAACAGGAUUAGAUACCCUUGUAGUC